ensembl:lncRNA novel transcript
AGGAGCCUAGCCUGGCCUCUUCUACGUGGUAGAGUGCUUAGAGAUCACGCCAGCACCUCCAUCCACUCUAAGUGGGCGGGCUGGGGAGAAGGAAAGCCAGGUUCUUCUGCUGGAGUGUGGAGAAGAGCAACCUGGUCCACAGCCUGCAGGUGGCCCAGCAGCAGGCCGAGGAGCUGCCGCAGGAGCGGGAGAAGCUGCAGGUUGCCCAGGAGGAGCUGCAGCGCCAGCGGGACCGGCUGGAGGAAGAGCAGGAAGAGGCGGUGCAGAAUGGCGCACGGGUUCGCCGGGAGCUUGAGCGCAGCCAUAGACAACUAGAGCAGCUGGAAGGGAAGCGCUCAGUCCUGGCCAAGGAGCUGGUGGAGGUGAGGGAGGCGCUGAGCCGCGCCACGCUGCAACGGGACAUGCUGCAGGCCGAGAAGACCGAGGUGGCCGAGGCGCUGACCAAGGGUGAGGCUGGCCGCAUGGAGCUCGAGCUCUCCGUGACCAAGCUGAGGGCAGAGGAGGCCUCCCUGCAGGACUCCCUGUCCAAGCUGAGCGCCCUCAACGAGAGCCUUGCUCAGGACAAGUUGGAUCUGAACUGCCUUGUCACCCAGCUGGAGGAAGAAAAGGCCAUGCUGCAGGGCCGGCAGCGGCAGGCGGAGCAGGAGGCCACAGUGGCGCCGGCAGAGCAGGAGUGGCUGGAGGAGCUGUGGUUGGAGCAGGAGGUGGCACGGCAGGGCCUGGAGGGCUCCCUAUGAGUGGCGGAGCAGGCCCAGGAGGCGCUGGAGCAACAGCUCCCCACACUGCACCAUGAGCUCAGUUGGCUGCAGGAGCAGCUAGCACAGGCCUUGUCUCUGAAGGAGUCUGAGAAGAUGGCGCUGUCAGAGAAGUUGAUGGGUACACGGCACAGCCUGGCCACCAUCUCCCUGGAGAUGGAGCGGCAGAAACCAGAUGCCCAGAGCCGGCAGGAGCAGGACCGGGUAGGCCUGCCGUCGUAGGGAGGCUUGCGGAGCAGGAGCGCCCUCUCUCCACCGAGCUAUCCCGCGGUUUCCAGCAUCCCAUCUGGCGGACUCCUCUUCCUCUCUCUUCUCCUACUCUGGGUCUUCUAUCCUGGUGUUCCUUGAAUGCCUAUCUUCCUUUUGUGCCUCGGAACCUCUCACGCCUGCCACAAGUUACUCUUUUCCUUGGUAGUUCUGAACUUUAAAUAAGGUAAUGCCUGUAAGAAUGCCAUAAAUGCUCAAUAAUUGUCAUCUGUUAUUAUUUUCAUCAGUAACAUCAUCUGAAUCAUCAGUAUUGUCUGCUUUUAACAGCUGCAUUUUUCAUUGUCCAAAUAUAGUCACAUACAUUUGACCAUUUUAUAAUUAUUGAAUAAUAAAUUUGUUCUGCUAUUUUACAAUGAAAAAUAAUGCUGCAGAGAGCAUUUUUGCACAUGUAUCGUGGCAGAUGUAGGCCAGAGGCUCUUCUUUUAUCCAUCCUAUGGCCAACCUAUGAAUGUAUACACGUUUAAUGAGAUUUUGCCAGCAAUCAAAGCCUUCAGGGAAAAUGUCCCUAGCUCUUUACUACAUCAGAUCAAGGACUCUGGAUAAUUGGCAUAACAUCCUGGAAUAGCUGAAACAGAGAUAUUAUUCUCUGCUCUCCUCUGUUGUCUUUGUCUUUUCACGUCUUAAUAAAAGUGCUGGUGACAAGAGUGUAA